GACGAACGCUGGCGGCGUGCUUAACACAUGCCAGUCGAACGGUGAAGCGCCUUCCUUUUUGGUGGGUGUGGAUGAGUGGCGAACGGGUGAGUAACACGUGAGUAACCUGCCCCCUUCUUCUGGAUAACCGCAUGAAAGUGUGGCUAAUACGGGAUAUUCUGGGUCUGUCGCAUGAUGGGUCUGGGAAAGAUAUUGUUUCGGUGGGGGAUGGGCUCGCGGCCUAUCAGCUUGUUGGUGGGGUGAUGGCCUACCAAGGCGGUGACGGGUAGCCGGCCUGAGAGGGCGGACGGUCACACUGGGACUGAGACACGGCCCAGACUCCUACGGGAGGCAGCAGUGGGGAAUAUUGCACAAUGGGCGCAAGCCUGAUGCAGCGACGCCGCGUGAGGGAUGGAGGCCUUCGGGUUGUGAACCUCUUUCGCCAGUGAAGCAGGCCUGCCUCGUUUGUGGGUGGGUUGACGGUAGCUGGAUAAGAAGCGCCGGCUAACUACGUG
rnacentral:rRNA from 1 species